GUGGCGCAGGAACUAGAACUGAAUAAAAUUCAUCUGAUCCCAAUGCAAAUGCCUCUUUAGCUGCUAGAGCUAGAAGUAUAAAUGCUCCGAAAAAUAGGCCAGAUAUUGGGUGGAAGCACGGGACAGAUGCUCAAGGCAAUGGGAAAAAAAAAUUAAAUGUAACUAUUGCUUAAAGAUUGUGAGUGGAGGCAUUUUUAGAUUCAAGCAUCAUCUUGUUAAGACUAGAGAGGAUUUUGAACCUUUGCUUUAGUGCCAGAAGAAGUUAAAAUUAUCAUGUUGAAAGUUACUGCAGAGGCUAAAGAGACAUUUAUGAAGAAAAGAAGACUGAAUAUUAUUGUAGAAGAUAUACAAACUGAGGGGGUGGAGACAAAUAGCACUCAAAGUGGAAUACAUGGGAUGCUUGCAUACAAAGGGAGUUCAAGCAAAUUUAAAUCAAUUGUACAAAAAAGGUGACAAAGGAAAAGUUUAUGAUCAAUGUGCUGAAUUUUGGUACACAAGUGUCAUUCCAUUUAAUGUUAUCAUAAAUCCAACUUUUGCAAAAUUUUGCGAGAUGGUUGGGAUUAUGGGGUUGGCUAUAAACCUUCAUCUUAUCAGGAUAUAAGAGAGACGCUUUUGAAAAGAGGAGUAGGGAAAACUGAUUUAAUGUUUCAAGAAUUUAGGGAUGAAGAGAAUUGGUUGUACAAUUAUGUCGGUUGGGUGGACAAAUAAAAAAAAGGCAUUAAAUUUAUAACUUUUUGGUGAACACUCCAAAAUAGACUAUAUUUCUUUAUUCAUUGGAUACCUCAAACAUCUCAAAAAUAAUUGAGAAAGUGUUGAAGAUGUCGGAUGAUGUAGUGGAAUUUGUUGGAGAAAAGAAUGUAGUCCAGGUGGUUACUAUAAUGCUACAAUUUUCUAAGCAAUUGGAGAGAAUCAUUGAUGUAUAGAAAUGAUAACAUUUGUAUUGGACCCCAUGCAUUACAUUGAUUUGAUAUUUGAAGAUUUUGAGAAACAUUUGAAGGUUCAUCAUGGUACUAUAAAGAAGGGAAAAAGGAUCACUACUUACAUUGGUAGAACAAUGUUGAUUAGCAUGAUGAAGAAGUUUACACAAGGAAGAGACUUGAUUAGGCCAAGUAUGAUUAGAUUUGCCACGACUUAUUUGACUUUAGCUUGUCUUCAUGAAUUAAAAGCAUCAUUGGUAAGCAUGUUUAGCUCUAAAGAGUAGAGAAUAAGCAAGUUUAGAACUUCACAAGAGGGGAAAAGAGUAGAGACAAGCUUUGGAUAGUUGAUUUUGGAAGAAAGUAACCAUAUGCCUCAAAGUUGCUACCCCUUUUAUGGUGGUCCUUCAAUUGGUGUUUCAUAUAUGAAGAGAUGGAUAGUGCAAAAGAGGAGAUAAAAUGCAACUUUAAUAACAUCAAGAAAAGGAUCAUCGGCUUCAUAGGCCUUUGCGUGCUACUUCAUAUUAUCUUAAUCCCCAUUUGCACUAUGAACCUAGUUUUAGACAUGAUGACCUUGAGGUGAAAGAGGGGUUGCUUAUAUGUAUGACAAGAUUGGUCAAGGAAGUUGCAACUUCUUGAGUUUCAUUUUGUUGGAGGUCUUUUCUCUAUGGAAGAUGCAAAGGACUCUAGGAAGGCUAUACAACCUAGAGAAUGGUGGGAGAUGUUUGGGGAUGGAACUCCAGAGUUGUAGCUAUUCUCGAUGUGAGCGUAAUUAGUAAUUGGAGCUCAUUUGAAAUGGUUCAUACAAAGAGAAGAAACUGCUUGCAUCAAUAGAAAAUGAAUGGCUUAGUUUAUGUAAUGUAUAACUUGAAGUUGAAAAAGAAACAAAUUAGAAAAACUAUUGCUCUUCCAUUUGAUGAGGUUCUGUAUGAUGAUGAAUGGAUAACUGAAGAGGGAUAUGACUAUGAGGUUGAGCCUCCUCAAGGUGAAGGUGAUGGUGGCAAUGUUGAAUUGGUGGGGGAUGUUGGAGGAUGUUUAGUGGUCCAACUCAAGAUGCUUUUGAUUUAGAAAAUUUAGUUUUGUUGGAACCUAAUGUUGAUGAUGCACAAUCUGAGGAAGACCUUGAUGGUGGUGGUGAUGAUGAUGACGAUGAUCUUGGACAUUUUGUCAUUAGAGGAUUGAGCAUGGACAUUUGAAGACAUUUAUGCUUUUUUAGUUAUUUAAAUGUUAUAAUUUUAAGAAUUUAUGUUUUCUAAUUGCAUGAACUUAUUACUUUGUUUGCAACUUGGUGUAGUUUUUUUUAUUAAGCAUUUAAAAGAAAGAACAAAUCUUUACAAGAGAUGGUCA